UCCCUACGGGGGGCAGCAGUGGGGGAUAUUGCACAAUGGGGGAAACCCUGAUGCAGCGACGCCGCGUGAGUGAAGAAGUAUUUCGGUAUGUAAAGCUCUAUCAGCAGGGAAGAAAAAAGACGGUACCUGACUAAGAAGCCCCGGCUAACUACGUGCCAGCAGCCGCGGUAAUACGUAGGGGGCAAGCGUUAUCCGGAUUUACUGGGUGUAAAGGGAGCGUAGGCGGCCUGCCAAGUCUGAUGUGAAAUACCGGGGCUCAACCCCGGGGCUGCAUUGGAAACUGGCAGGCUGGAGUGACGGAGAGG
rnacentral:rRNA from 1 species